UGAAAGAACUGACCAGAAGAAAUGGCUUCAAGUGACUACUCUCAUCAACAYGAAUUAGACGAAAGAGCAUCUAUUMGCUACAUGGUGACAUUCAACCAUACAUGUUUCCACCGGAAUAUAGAGAAGAGGAAUCGAAACAAAGAGUUGGAUUUAGCUAACUUUAGAAGUUCAGCUACAGCUCAUGCCAGCAGAGAGAGGACAGAUGACAAAAACAGUGCCUAGCUAACUGGCAGCAGAGAGAGGACACAGGGGCCUAAGAAGGGAGGCCUACUCUUAACAUCACCCAUCCAGCAGGAUACUCACUGUAAACAAUGGCUAACCCCACCCCCAAUCUCCAUCUUCAGCCAGGUUUCUCCGAGUCCUUCAGCUGAGCGGUCGGGUGGGGCUUGAUCAAUGGCAGGAAACGAGCAGAUCAAAUGGUGAUUAAUCUGAAAGCGAUAGGCCAGUAUCUACACAACCAUGCCUCUGAGACCUCUGUGACUUUGCCUCCAUGUGAUGUUGGGGUUGUGGGUAAUCUUCUCCCCUAAGGUACCCAGUAACCCUGAGGGCAGAUGAAUACAGUACACAGUCCUAGGGGGUUGUUUAAUAUGCUCAAUAUGCUUAUUACUCACUCACUCUCCGCCAGCUGUAUGCAAAUAUAAAACAUAUUGCCUUGGGUCUCUGUGGAGAACCUCACUACUCGCUCAGACUCACCAUAGGCCUUUAUCUGUAAUUAAACGCAACUUCGUCUCUGGGGUUGUUGAUAUUGAUAUUUUUAUCAUUAAUAAACAACUUGCUGUAAGGGAUUGCACUGCUGUUUCCUUUUGGCGGCUGUUUGUCUGUAAUUCUGAAAUUGUUUAAAUAACUUGAUUAUAUUAUGUAUCUUCAAUAAAUGUUAUGAGCUGAUAUUGGAUUAAUUGUCCACAUUCUCAGAAUGCUGUAUACUAUUAUAUAUUAAGGUACUUAAAUACGAUACCUCAUGAAUAAUGGAUUUUCUCAUGAAUAAUGGAUUUGCUCAUGUAUAAUGUAUUGCAGCAGACAUAGGCCCCCCUUCUUGUCAAUUAGAAUUACCCCAAGGGCAAAACUCCAACUGUACUACAAUGCUGUCCAAUAAACAAGACAAUACUGCAUUUUCUACUGCA